UACGUAGGGGGCUAGCGUUGUCCGGAAUCAUUGGGCGUAAAGAGCGUGUAGGCGGCCUGGUAAGUCCGCUGUAAAAAGUCAAAGGCUCAACCUUUGAAUGUCAGUGGAUACUGCCGGGCUAGAGUCCGGAAGAGGCGAGUGGAACUCCUGGUGUAGCGGUGGAAUGCGCAGAUAUCAGGAAGAACACCAACGGCGAAGGCAGCUCGCUAGGACGGUACUGACGCUGAGACGCGAAAAGCGUGGGGGAGCGAACAGG
rnacentral:rRNA from 1 species